rnacentral:rRNA from 1 species
UACGAGGGGCCCAAGCGUUAUUCGGAAUUACUGGGCUUAAAGAGUUCGUAGGCGGCAUGAAAAGCCGGGUGUGAAAGCCCUCGGCUCAACCGAGGAAUUGCGCUCUGAACUGUCGUGCUUGAGGAACCUAGAGGUGAGCAGAACAGAUGGUGGAGCGGUGAAAUGCGUUGAUAUCAUCUGGAAUACCGGAGGCGAAGGCGGCUCACUGGGGAGUUUCUGACGCUGAGGAACGAAAGCCAGGGUAGCGAACGGG